UAUACAGAUCAGAGUUUGAUGUGGCCAA
rnacentral:piRNA from 1 species